AACGCACAUUGCGCCCGCCAGCAUUCUGGCGGGCAUGCCUGUCCGAGCGUCAUUUCAACCCUCAGGCUCCCGCGCCUGGUGCUGGGGAUCGGCCUUCACCGGCCGGCCCCGAAAUACAGUGGCGGCCCCGCCCGUGUACCUCUGCGUAGUAGCAUACACCUCGCAGCUGGAAGCGGCGGCGGCCACGCCGGAAAACCCCCGACUUCUGAAAGUUGACCUCGGAUCAGGUAGGAAUACCCGCUGAACUUAA
rnacentral:misc_RNA from 1 species